rnacentral:lncRNA from 1 species
CUCUAAAAAAUCACCAUUCAAAACUCCAUUUUAUCCAAAUAAUGGUUGUCAAACAGGGAUUAACAAGAAGAAUAAUGCUAUAUAACACCUAUCUCGAUGGUAGCCGACCCAUAGCUAUAUUGUUCACUAAAAUCAAAAGCAUCCCAACUUCAUGUAGUCACUGGGAUCCACUGCAUGGUACUAGGCACAGUAGUGCUACAUAACAUUAUAACAUAAAAGACAAUAUGUAAAUUGGAUUACACGAGCGAGUUUAUAACGGAAGAAGAGGAAAGUGAAAGGAAAAGAAUGUGAAAUUAUACACAAAAUUGGGCAUUGUAAACUAUCAUUAAUUUCCGGUUGGCUUUCUAAGGUAACAUAUGUUUCAAUUUUCUCCCCUUUAAAUUGGAAUUACUAGUCUACGGUGAUUUCCAGAAUAGUUGUAAGCCUGGGUUUUUUAUAUCUCCUAAGAAGCAAAGAAGAGCAUACGACACUCACGGAUGACAACGCCAUGCAUGCACCUGAUACCCAUGGUGGCAACUUCACUUUUAGCCAAGGAAAUAAAACCCCAGCAGCAACUGGGAUAGCUAUCACAUUGUAAGCCAUGGCAAAUACAUAAUUCAACCUAAUCCUGGCGAAAGUCUUUCUUGAAAGAUCAAUAGCUGUGAUGACGUCUUCUAAAU